rnacentral:RNase_P_RNA from 1 species
UGAGUAAGACAAAUGGCCGCAGCUGCAAAGCCGAAAGGCUGCAGGUGAGGAAAGUCCGGGCUUCACAGGGCAGGAUGCCAGAUAACGUCUGGCGGAGGCGACUCCAGGGAAAGUGCAACAGAAAUAUACCGCCGCUUAAUGCGGUAAGGGUGGAAAGGUGG